GAUGAAGAACGUAGCGAAACGCGAUACUUGGUGUGAAUUACAGAAUCCCGUGAACCAUCGAGUCUUUGAACGCAAGUUGCGCCCGAAGCCAUUAGGCCGAGGGCACGCCUGCCUGGGUGUCACAGACCGUUACCCUCGCGCCAACGUCCAUCGUUGGCCGCGGCGCGGGGCGUGCGCUGACCUCCCGCGAGCGGGGUCUCGUGGUUGGUUGAAAAUCGAGUUCGCGGUCGAGGUGCCGUGAUGAAAUGGUGGAUGGGCGACGCCCGAGGCCAAUCACGCGCGACUCUGUCCGGCUCGGACUCCUGGACCCCUUCGGCGUCUCCGGACGCUCUUUGGCGAGACCUCAGGUCAGGCGGGGCUACCCGCUGAGUUUAAGCAUAUCAAUAAGCGGAGGA
rnacentral:misc_RNA from 1 species